AUUCAGCUGAUGUAUUCCAAAUAGAACGAAACGCGCGUCCUGGAU
rnacentral:hammerhead_ribozyme from 1 species